rnacentral:lncRNA from 1 species
GCAGCUGUAGGUCCAAUUCAGUCCCUAGCCUGGCAACUUCCAUAUAAUGUGGGUAAACCUUUCAAAAAGACAAAAAACACGAUACAAUAAAAGAAUAAUAAUAAUACAGGAAACUGUUACUUUAAGAUUUUAAAAAGUGGGUAUAUUUUCAGCCAGUGGUGUCAGGACAAGCGGAUAUCCAUAAAGAAAAAAAAUGAAGUACAAUCAUGACUUCACAUCCUAAGCACAAAUAAACUUUGUACUUAGGGAUCAUAGGCCUAAAUAUAAAAGUAAAAAACUUAUUAAAAGCACAAGUAUUUUAAUAACACAUGCUGGAAAAGAAAUAUGACACAAAAAGCACAAGUCAUAAAAGAAAUAAUGAAUAAACUGGACCCCAUCAAAACUGUAAACUUCUGCUCUCUGAAAGACAUUCUUAGACACCAAAAAUAGAAAGAAAAAGAUACACACUGGGAGUAAAGACCUGCAACACUUAGGCACAAUAAACAGAUAGCAUACAAAUAUAUAGAAAGAACCGUAGUAAUUAAAUAACAACAUUUCAAUAAAAACAGGACCAUUAUAAUUUGAGAAAGCAUUUACCGAUGAACACACAUGAAUAACCAAUCAUUACAUGAAAAGAAGCCAGGAAGUUUCCUUGUGCUGCAACAGGUUAAGGAUCUAGCGUUGUCACUGAAGCAGCUAGGGCUGCCGCUAUUGUACAUGUUUCAUCCCUGGCCCUGGAAAUUCCACAUGCCACAGGAUCAGUCAAAAAGAAAAAGCAAAGAAGCCACAUAUCAUCAUUCACUGAGAAAACAGAAAUAACACAAAAUGUAAUAUCACUAAACAACCACUGCAGUGUCUUAAAAUUUAAGACCGCUAACAACAACGAGAGGACCUUGAGCAACUGGAACGCUCAGGUGUGCUAGUGUGGGAAUGUAAAAGGUCACAGCCACACAGAAAACAGUUUGGCAUGUUUUUCAAUAAAGUUAAACAUUUAAGCCACAAUUCCAUUCCUCAAUAUUGACCCAAAAGAAAUGAUAACUUAGGUUGGCACAAAAACCUGUAUGCAAUUAUUUGUAGCAUCUUUAUUCAAAGAGCCCAAAACUGGAAAUAACCCAAACAUCAAUCAAUUAGUAAAUGAAUAAACAAUUUGCUUUACUCCGUAUGAUGGACUGCCCAUCAACAAAAAGGAAUAAACUAAUGAUACAUGCAAUAACAAAGAUAAAUCUCAAACACAGUCUGCCACAUAAAAAAGAGACAAAGACAUGAGUUAAUGACAGCUUAUUUCCUUUGUGUCACCUUCUAUUAUAUUGCACUCUUGAACAGGCAAAUCUGUAGGCCAAAAACAGACAAGUGGUUACCACCAGCUAGAAUUAGGGGAAAUGCAUCAGCUGCAAAAGAAGAAUAAGAGAACUUUUGGAGGUGAGGACAAUGUUUUAUCUUAGUUGCAAUGAUAGUUCACAUAUUAUUCAAAACUCUUUAGACUCUACUCUUAAAAGGGUGAAUUUUCUUUGACAUAGCUUAUAUCUCAAGUAAAAAAUUGAGGAAUAUAUUAAGUUACAAAAAGUAUAUAUGGUGAAAAGGAAAUCAAAUCUAACGAUACAAACCCCUUUAGACUUUCCAAACAUAACCAUUCCCACCAACUAGUUAUAUGUCCUUCUAGAGAUAUUAAGCAUAUCUGGCAGAAAAUCUUACACACAUUUAUGCCCCUUACCACUUUCUUCUUUUUUUUAACCCAAUGACAAGCAUCUACUGGAUCAUGAUAUUUUUCUUCAAUAAAAUGAUUUGGAUAUUGUCCCAUAUCAACAUACAUACAUCUGCCUUUUUCAUGUGUCAUAAUGCAAAUGUGCCAUUGCACUACUAAUGAACAUUUAGAUAGGUCAAGCUUUUUUUUGGUCUUUUGUCUUUUUAGGGCCACACCCAGAGCGUACAGAGGUUCCCAGGCUAGGAGUCCAAUCAGAGCUGUGGCUGCUGGCCUAUAACACAGCCACAGCAAUGCCAGGUCCGAGCCAUGUCUGCGACCUACACCACAGCUCAAUGCAACACCAGUUCCUUAACCCACGGAGCUAGGCCAGGGAUUGAAUCCACAACCUCAUGGUUCCUAGUCUGAUUCAUUUCUGCUGCACCACAACAGGUACUUCAUCAAGAUAUUUUUUUACCACAAGUAAUAAUGCAAGGAUGAAUUUUUUGGACAUUCCUUCUUUAGCAUUUGCAGUAGAUGCUAAGAAUUUCAAUUAC